CUCGGAUUGCAACAGAUCAGCAGGGUCCCCAAGGGGAGGACUGAGGCCUUGCUGGGCUCAUUCAUUCGUUUGCUUAGUAUGUGUGUGGUGAGCACACCCUCUAGUCCAGGCCGUGGAGGGACCAAAAGGAUGGGACGCAGCCCUGCCCUCCGAGUUCACACAGGAGCAGGGGACACAGCUCUGCCCUCCGAGUUCACACAGGAGCAGGGGACACAGCCAGGCAGGGAUGGCGUGCAGCGUGGUGAGUGGAGUGGCUGCAGGACCACUGGAAACCUACCCGAGGGGACUUUCAACUUGGCCAGUCUGUUGAGAAAGGGAAGAAAUGGGAGAAGGCCCCACCUCCAGAGCCACCGACCCCAGAAAAGAGGUCAAAGAACAGAAGCCGCAGUUGGAGGGGGCAAGCUUAGCUGAGAGGGGAGGUCGGCCAUCAGCUGCAUCAGAAGAGAAAACCACGGCUAAUCUGGAAAAGCCAGCCUGCAAGGGAGUGACCGCAUCUCCCAGCAUCCUCUGGGGCAGAUGGUGACAGAGGCGGACUGACAGAAAACCCUCCCCUCACACACAGAUACACAGCCAUGGAGACCCUCAGCCCACAGCCCUGGAAGCUCUGGGUGACCCUCCAGACAGCGGCCCCACCUCGGGAGCAGCGGUGCCCUGAGGACGCUGGCCACAGAGCAGCUCGGCUCAGGGCUGACCCUCACAGCCCCAGCAGCCUGAGAUUCCCGCCUCCCAGAAGAAUCGGGGAACUGGCUCCCACCCUAGAAAAGCCUGUCUCUGGGUCUGGAAGGCUCAAGGCAGGGGACCGCCCUUGCAUGCCUGACACCUCAUCUAAAGGCCUGGGGGGCAGUUCUAGGGAACAGGCCCCUGUAAAUCAGCUGGUCUGCUUCUCCUGGGCUGCAGCCCUUCUCAAGGCCUCAGAGACCCCAAGGCCCCACCCUCCUCCCCAGUUCUUCUCUACAUCUGCUCUCUGUCUCCUCCACCCAUCCCACUUGCAGAGCGGCAGUGAGAGCGGGGAAGGACACAGACUUGGGAGGCAAACCACCUGGCUUGAAUCCCACCUCUGCCACCCAAUGGCUGAGUGGACCUUAAGCCUCAGGCUCCACAUCUGUAAAAUGGAUUAGUAAUAACAACAGUACCUCAUCCCAGGGAGGCUGGAAUGAGUUAAUACAAGGAAAGGCCUCAGGGCGG
ensembl:lncRNA